rnacentral:lncRNA from 1 species
CCCCCGAUUAAUUAUGUAUCUUUAUUGUUCUAACAAUGUUUUAGUUUAACUUCACAUAAUCAAUAAAGUUAUAAAAAUAGAUUUAUGCGUAUCUUAAGAACAUCGUGUUGGUACACUUCGAUCUAUUUGGUAAUAAGAAGGACCGGGGACCAAGUGUCAUCAGACGAUUCAUACCCACCGCGUUUACUAAUUUCCGAUUAUUCAAAACUUUGUAAAUCUGGAUAAAGUCCAGUAUCUAUCCAAAAGAUGUCAGGAUAAUUCCGAUUAAUACUUUUUUAAUGGUUGUUAAGGUGAAAUGGUAAGAAAGGCUGACAUUAUUUAGGAGAACUAUUUUGUCAAGCGAUUGCUGAUCAUUGGUGUGUGAAAAGUCCAGAACCAUGUCAAAACGGAUCUAUUUGUUUAUUACAUAGAUAAAAGCGAAAG